AACGAACGCUGGCGGCAUGCCUAACACAUGCAAGUCGAACGAGACCUUCGGGUCUAGUGGCGCACGGGUGCGUAACGCGUGGGAACCUGCCCUUAGGUUCGGAAUAACUCCCCGAAAGGGGUGCUAAUACCGGAUAAUGUCUUCGGACCAAGGAUUUAUCGCCUUUGGAUGGGCCCGCGUUGGAUUAGCUAGUUGGUAGGGUAAAAGCCUACCAAGGCGACGAUCCAUAGCUGGUCUGAGAGGAUGAUCAGCCACACUGGGACUGAGACACGGCCCAGACUCCUACGGGAGGCAGCAGUGGGGAAUAUUGGACAAUGGGCGAAAGCCUGAGCCAGCAAUGCCGCGUGAGUGAUGAAGGCCUUAGGGUUGUAAAGCUCUAUUACCAGGGAUGAUAAUGACGGUACCGGAAGAAGAAGCACCGGCUAACUACGUG
rnacentral:rRNA from 1 species